GCCAGGCGUGGUGGUGCGUGCCUGUAGUCCCAGCUACUCGGGAGGCUGACGUUGGAGGAUUGCUUGAGCUCAGGAGUUCUGGGCUGUAAUGGGCUAUGCUGGUGUCUGCACUAAAUUCGGGAUCAAUAUGGUGACCUCUUGGGAGCAGGGGACCGCUAGGUUGCCUAAGGAAGGGUGAAUCAGCUCAGGUUGGAAAUGGAGCAGGUCAAAAACUCCCGUGCUGACCAGUAGUGGGAUCACGCCUAUGAAUAGCCACUGUACUCCAGCCUGGGCAACAUAGUGAGACUCCUGUCU
rnacentral:SRP_RNA from 1 species